CCUAGGGGAGGCAGCAGUGGGGAAUAUUGCACAAUGGGCGCAAGCCUGAUGCAGCCAUGCCGCGUGUAUGGAGAAGGCCUUCGGGUUGUAAAGUACUUUCAGCGGGGAGGAAGGGAGUAAAGUUAAUACCUUUGCUCAUUGACGUUACCCGCAGAAGAAGCACCGGCUAACUCCGUGCCAGCAGCCGCGGUAAUGUAU
rnacentral:rRNA from 1 species